AGAGCGUACGGUGGAUGCCUUGGCACCAGGAGCCGAUGAAGGACGUAGGAGGCUGCGAUAAGCCUCGGGGAGCUGUCAACCGAGCUGUGAUCCGAGGAUGUCCGAAUGGGGAAACCCAGCACGAGUGAUGUCGUGUUACCCGCGCCUGAAUAUAUAGGGCGUGUGGAGGGAACGUGGGGAAGUGAAACAUCUCAGUACCCACAGGAAGAGAAAACAACCGUGAUUCCGUGAGUAGUGGCGAGCGAAAGCGGAAGAGGCUAAACCAUGGGUGUGUGAUAGCCGGCAGGUGUUGCAUUCGUGGGGUUGUGGGGUUCAUUUUGUCUGUUCUGCCGAGCAGGCCAACAGUAAGAAAUCACAGGGUUAGUGGAAGUGGUCUGGAACGGCCUGUCGUAGAGGGUGAGAAUCCCGUACACGAAAACUUUGUGACUGUUGUAAUGGAAACCCAAGUAGCACCGGGCCCGUGAAAUCUGGUGUGAAUCUGUCGGGACCACCCGAUAAGCCUGAAUACUCCCUGGUGACCGAUAGCGGACUAGUACCGUGAGGGAAAGGUGAAAAGUACCCCGGGAGGGGAGUGAAAUAGUACCUGAAACCGUGCGCUUACAAUCCGUCAGAGCCUUCGAACAGUUUACUGUUGGGGGUGAUGGCGUGCCUUUUGAAGAAUGAGCCUGCGAGUUAGUGGCAUGUCGCGAGGUUAACCCGUGUGGGGUAGCCGUAGCGAAAGCGAGUCCGAAUAGGGCGAUCGUAGUGGCAUGCUCUAGACCCGAAGCGGAGUGAUCUACCCAUGGCCAGGUUGAAGCGACGGUAAGACGUCGUGGAGGACCGAACCCACUUAGGUUGAAAACUGAGGGGAUGAGUUGUGGGUAGGGGUGAAAGGCCAAUCAAACUCCGUGAUAGCUGGUUCUCCCCGAAAUGCAUUUAGGUGCAGCGUCGCGUGUUUCUCACCGGAGGUAGAGCUACUGGAUGGUCUAGGGGGCCCACAAGCUUACCGAAAUCAGCCAAACUCCGAAUGCCGGUGAGUGAGAGCGCGGCAGUGAGACUGCGGGCGAUAAGGUUCGUAGUCGAGAGGGAAACAGCCCAGAUCGCCAGCUAAGGUCCCUAAGCGUGUACUAAGUGGAAAAGGAUGUGGGGUCGCGAAGACAACCAGGAGGUUGGCUUAGAAGCAGCCACCCUUGAAAGAGUGCGUAAUAGCUCACUGGUCAAGUGAUCCUGCGCCGACAAUGUAGCGGGGCUCAAGUACACCACCGAAGCUGCGGCAUUCACGCAAUAGCCCCCCUUCACUCUGCGGAGUGUUGGGCAGGUGUGUGGAUGGGUAGGGGAGCGUCGUGUGGCCAUGGAAGCGGCAGGGUGACCUAGCCGUGGAGGCCACACGAGUGAGAAUGCAGGCAUGAGUAGCGAAAGACGAGUGAGAAACUCGUCCGCCGAAUGACCAAGGGUUCCUGGGCCAGGUUAAUCCGCCCAGGGUGAGUCGGGACCUAAGACGAGGCCGACAGGCGUAGCCGAUGGACAACGGGUUGAUAUUCCCGUACCCGUGUGAACGCGCCCAUGGUGAAUCAGUGAUACUAACCAUCCUGAAGCCACGAGAAGACCUUCGGGUCUCGAGUUGGUGGAUGCAUGGGACCUGAUCUGGUAGUAGCCAAGCGAUGGGGUGACGCAGGAAGGUAGCUGAGCCAGUCAGUGGUAAUACUGGUGUAAGCGUGUAGGGCGUGACCUAGGCAAAUCCGGGUCACACAUAGCCUGAGACGUGAUGCGUAGCCGAUUGAGGCGAAUUCAGUGAUCCUAUGCUGCCGAGAAAAGCCUCUAGCGAGCUUUCACACGGCCCGUACCCCAAACCGACACAGGUGGUCAGGUAGAGAAUACUAAGGCGAUCGAGAUAACUAUGGUUAAGGAACUCGGCAAAAUGCCCCCGUAACUUCGGGAGAAGGGGGGCCCUGUUUGGUGACGACAUUUACUGUCUGAGCUGGGUGGGGCCGCAGAGACCAGUGAGAAGCGACUGUUUACUAAAAACACAGGUCCGUGCGAAGUCGUAAGACGAUGUAUACGGACUGACGCCUGCCCGGUGCUGGAAGGUUAAGAGGACCGGUUAGUUCCUUCGGGAGCGAAGCUGAGAAUUUAAGCCCCAGUAAACGGCGGUGGUAACUAUAACCAUCCUAAGGUAGCGAAAUUCCUUGUCGGGUAAGUUCCGACCUGCACGAAUGGCGUAACGACUUCUCAGCUGUCUCAACCGUAGACUCGGCGAAAUUGCAUUACGAGUAAAGAUGCUCGUUACGCGCGGCAGGACGAAAAGACCCCGGGACCUUCACUACAGCUUGGUAUUGGUGUUCGGUUCGGUUUGUGUAGGAUAGGUGGGAGACUGUGAAACGGUGACGCCAGUUAUCGUGGAGUCGUUGUUGAAAUACCACUCUGAUCGAAUUGGACCUCUAACCUCGGACCAUGAUCUGGUUCAGGGACAGUGCCUGGUGGGUAGUUUAACUGGGGCGGUUGCCUCCCAAAAUGUAACGGAGGCGCCCAAAGGUUCCCUCAGCCUGGUUGGCAAUCAGGUGUCGAGUGCAAGUGCACAAGGGAGCUUGACUGUGAGACUGACAGGUCGAGCAGGGACGAAAGUCGGGACUAGUGAUCCGGCACCGGCAAGUGGAAGCGGUGUCGCUCAACGGAUAAAAGGUACCCCGGGGAUAACAGGCUGAUCUUCCCCAAGAGUCCAUAUCGACGGGAUGGUUUGGCACCUCGAUGUCGGCUCGUCGCAUCCUGGGGCUGGAGUAGGUCCCAAGGGUUGGGCUGUUCGCCCAUUAAAGCGGCACGCGAGCUGGGUUUAGAACGUCGUGAGACAGUUCGGUCUCUAUCCGCCGCGCGCGUUAGAAACUUGAGGAAGGCUGUCCCUAGUACGAGAGGACCGGGACGGACGAACCUCUGGUGUGCCAGUUGUUCCGCCAGGAGCACCGCUGGUUAGCUACGUUCGGAAGGGAUAACCGCUGAAAGCAUCUAAGCGGGAAGCCUGUUCCAAGAUGAGGUUUCU
rnacentral:rRNA from 1 species